rnacentral:rRNA from 1 species
AACGAACGCUGGCGGCAGGCUUAACACAUGCAAGUCGAACGCAUCCUUCGGGGUGAGUGGCAGACGGGUGAGUAACGCGUGGGAAUCUACCCAUCUCUGCGGAAUGGCUCCGGGAAACUGGAAUUAAUACCGCAUACGCCCUACGGGGGAAAGAUUUAUCGGGGAUGGAUGAGCCCGCGUUGGAUUAGCUAGUUGGUGGGGUAAAGGCCUACCAAGGCGACGAUCCAUAGCUGGUCUGAGAGGAUGAUCAGCCACAUUGGGACUGAGACACGGCCCAAACUCCUACGGGGGGCAGCAGUGGGGAAUAUUGGACAAUGGGCGCAAGCCUGAUCCAGCCAUGCCGCGUGAGUGAUGAAGGCCUUAGGGUUGUAAAGCUCUUUCACCGAUGAAGAUAAUGACGGUAGUCGGAGAAGAAGCCCCGGCUAACUUCGUGCCAGCCGCCGCCGUAA